rnacentral:rRNA from 1 species
CCUACGGGGUGCUGCAGUGGGGGAUAUUGCACAAUGGGGGGAACCCUGAUGCAGCGACGCCGCGUGAGGGAUGAAGGUCUUCUGAUCGUAAACCUCUGUCAGCAGGGAAGAACGGUCACUGUGCUAAUCAGCAGUGAAUUGACGGUACCUGCAAAGGAAGCACUGGCUCACUCCGUGCCAGCAGCCGCGGUAAUACGGAGGGUGCGAGCGUUAAACGGAAUUACUGGGCGUAAAGCGCUCGUAGGCGGUAUGUCAAGUCAAGGGUGAAAUCCCCGCGCUCAACGUGGGAACUGCCUUUGAAACUGGCAAACUGGGGUGUGUGAGAGGAGAGGGGAAUUCCAGGUGUAGGAGUGAA